UUAAUUGUAAGGGGCCAGUGGGCUUCUGGGACACUGAAGUAUCCGAUAUUUCGCAAUCAUGGGGAACAUCUCAAAUAUUUAGCGUUAAGCUGGUGUCAGCUUGGAGAAGAUCCAUUGGGUGUGCUCGCUCCACACGUGCCAAAUCUCACCUAUUUAAGUCUUAACAGGGUGAAUAGUGCAAGCACUUUGGUUCUUUCUGCUGGGUGCUUUCCUCACCUGAAGACGCUCGUCUUGAAGCGAAUGCCGGAUGUCAAGCAGAUGGAAAUCGGAGAUGGUGCUCUUCCACGUAUUGAAGGUCUUUACAUUGUGUCCCUAGCACAGCUGGAUAAGGUUCCUCAAGGCAUCGAGUUGCUUCUUUCUCUGAAGAGGCUUUGGCUGCUGUACCUGCACGAUGAGUUUAAAACUCUGUGGCAAACGAGUGGGAUGCACCAGAAGAUGCAGCACGUUCCAGAGAUUCGUAUCUAGGACAACUAGAUGGUAAAUUCUCCAUUGGUAUGCUUGUAUGAUGUGUCUGCUCAGAACUGUGUUUGUUGGGCACUUUAUCCCUUUUUAUUCCAAUAAGCCAUGAAUUCUUCCUUUUGAUUUUUUUUAUUGUACAUUGAAACACCCAUGUAUGUGCUGUGUGUUGGUUCAGUUGCUUUAGGAAUACUACUUUUGUUCAAGAACACUUCCCUUCUGUAUUUAACUUUUGUAAAUGAUGUUAUGAUCAACAGAUUUUGUGCAUGUGAGGUGCAUAAUAUGUGAACUUACAAACCAGCAGAAUAUUCAUAAUUUCAGGGCGUUUACUUUAUUUAUAUGCUACUAAAUUGAACAGUGCUCUUCACUUUGCCACUAACUUUUUGCUUUUCAUUUUUUAUGCUGUUAUUCCAGAUGGUGCUUCUAGAAAGUUCAAUUUCUCGUAAUUCUCAGUCAAUUUUCCAUUAGCACCCAAAAAUACUGAAAAAUCCUUCAGAAAAAGCUCCAAAAAAUGUAGAAAAUUAUUUUGAACUAAGAAAAAUAGUGAAAGCCUGAAAGGUACUCCCCCCACACACACGCACACCCCAAACGAUGAAAGAACGUCGUAAACUCUUAAUCACUGAAAAAAUAUUUUCUAAAACAAUAUGUGCAGAGAAAACUAUCCUACAAAUUUACUUUUGUUGAAAUGUGUACGUUUCGAUCUUUACCAGCUCUUAUGGAAAAUCCUUUUUAAAGGAUUUCUACUAUAUUGUUUUUCUUCAAAGAUGAUAUAAAAAAUUUGUUUAAAUGGUCCGGGUUUUUUCAUGCUCUUUUUUACAUUUCCUAUGAUAUUUCAUGAGCUUUCUGUGAUCUUUAGCACAUUCUUUUACGUAUUUUUAGAGACCAUGUAGAUGAGCUUUCGCAAUAGAAUCAAAGUUGUGAUAGCAUGUUUAUUACUUGCAUUCUAAGGAAAUAGUGCCAUGAAUAAAUGAGAUGUGCUAAACUUCACAUGGCCAAGUUAAGAGCAUUGUUUGAGUUGAUGUUAUAAAGUAAAUGAUCUCGUAGAAAAAUAAAACAUUUGGGCACUAAGACACAUACUUUAUAAAAAUAAGUUCCUUUAGGAAACUAAAGGUUAUUACAAAUGAACUUCCUUUUGGUAGAUUUAUUCAUCAAUAAAGACAUUAUGUAAAUCACAAUCAAUUAAGACUUUGCAAAAACAGUUGGAAGACCUUUCUACGUGUUUUCUUCCUUUUUGAUUUUGCUUAUAAAAGAUGAUAGUUUGUUAGGGGAACUCACCUAAUAAUAUUUACAUGAUGCCAAAUAUCUAAGCUGUUCGAUUGGGCGUUUCGAGUGCAAUCAGAUGAGAUCCCACAUUGUAAGGGACUACAUUGGUCCUCUUCUGAUCAAGACACCGUCGAGAGCUCCGAUCCGCCGUGGCCCCUCCCUUUGUCCCGAUGAUGGCUCCGCCGCCGCCGGCCGGAUACUCUGGCGCUGUACGUCUUGGUGGUGCCGAGCCGAGGCGAUCGACUGCAGGGAUCUGGAACGGCAAGCGGCCAAGCCUACCUCAUCGCCCUGCCGCCGCUGCCCGCUGGAGUCGAUGAAACCCAUGGUUGAAGAGCGGGAAGGCGAGGUCCUACUACUCGACCGGCCGACCCCUCCCACCACUGAACUUUGGUUUGGAUCAGAACUCAGGUGAUCGCCCACUUCCAUCUCUCCUAUGUAUUCCUUUUCCAUUUGUUCCAAUAAAACACUAUUAUUGAACUGAAACCAUCUCCCAAACGAACUGAACAAAUCUCCUAAGAAAUCCAGCAAACAACGGUGCAUUUGCAUUCCAUUACCCGUCAUUCCGUUGUGUGUAUGAAGUAAUAAUCCGUAGCAGGCCUCAGGUUUCCGAAUGUCAUAUGUUCAUUGACAUCUUGGAUAGCAUAAUUAUCAAACGAACUAUGUUCACUUUAAUACAGAUUCUAAAUGGGGGAAAACAUGUAGACAUGCAGAAAGGUGCAGGAAAUACUCCUGGUUUACAAGAAAAUGAUACAACACUUGCAACCUAUGAGGCUAUUACUGAAUUCAAAUACGAUGGAAAAAGUAUUGUAGCUAUAACUCAAGAGUGGAGUAAUUUAGACAAUGGAAUGAUAAGAUACUUCAAUGAUCAUUAAGGAAGGAAAUUUUAUGACUUGAGAUGGACCACCUUGAAAUAUUCUUCAUAGUAGUCUGGCGAACCAAAUUAUGUAGUAACUCUACUAGCUCACGAGAAUCCUCCACUGAAUGUUUCACCUUUUGCUCAAAAAAAAGGGCAUCAUAAACCAUGGGGACCUAUCUUUGGGUAGAAGUACAUGGAUCAAUUUUAAAUUUUUAUUUUCACUUAUCUUUAAUUUGCAGUUAUUGCCUUGUGCUAUGAAAUUCAGGUGCUAAAAAAUUUAUUAAUUUUAGAGUUAGUGUUAGAGUUUUAUUUGUUUCUGUAAAGGUGAGGCCGAUAUCCCUAAAGGUACAACAACUUUAUUUAACCAACUCUUUUUUUGCAUAAAAUGGGCGACAGUAGUCAGAGCAAGUGGUUGAUCAUCACAUUUAUUUAAAAUUGCUGCUGAAUCAGGCUGCAAGUAAUCUGAAUAUUCCCCUGGACAAGCAUUUCUCAGAAACAAUUGCUUUGAGUGUUUCUCAUCAAGUCUUCUCAUUUUGUGUAUGUAACCGUGGGUUGAGCUGCAGGUAUUGGCUACUGACUGGAUUUUUGUUGUCACCACUAUUCUACUGCUAACAUCUCGAGGGAAGGCAGACUUUACGAUACUCCAUUGAUCUGACCUCAUGCCAUCAAUUACGAUGAAGUACCUGGAAUAUUUAGAAAUGAGGAUAUAAAAGUUAUCAAAGAGUUAUUCUGCAACAACAGUAAACUAAUGGGUCAAGGAAGAAAGAACAGUUUUCUUAUUGGACUGCAUUGAGCAUCACAUAUAUAACAUAUAUAUAAUUUCUGUAGUUUAAAGGAAUAACUGAUGUUUACUGAUAUAUGCUUUCAAAGAAUAACAUACAUAUGCUUUAAGUAGUGACAUAUUCACACUUGGAGUAUAUAAUAUGGCCCAAAUUAGCAACUGAUUUAUGCAGUUCUUUCAGAUCCCUUUAGUUUUCUUAGCUAUUUCAGAAAUUUCCUUCCGCUUAUCAUUCACCCAGUAUAGGGAGCACAUAUUUCUACAUGUCACUUCCCAAAGAGAAGUCUCCUUUUCUUUUCUCCUUAUACUAGAAGUCUCAGACAUUAGAUUCAAAGUGUUUGUAGGUAGUUCAACUGAGUGCAUGAAUCUUUUCUGAAUCCUCAACAUGUUCUGUACGAGAAACUAUCUGAAUCUUUCAUUUCUCAUAGCCGAUGUCUUUCCUGACUAUCUAUGUUUAUGGAAAGAAUUUCAUUUCGAUGAUAACAUUCAGUAAUCAGACUAAUGAGUAAAGUACUAUUUUCAUUUUGCUAAAGGAUGGUAGACAGUUUCUACCUCUUGUUAUUCAGGAAGUUGCAAAGAUCAGCACUGUGUUAGGAUCUGAACUGUAACUCUCAUCGAGAGGAUGGCACUAGGAAGAGUUGGGGCAAUUUUCUGGAUUUUCUUUCCACAAUACCAUGUCCAACCAAGGGUUGGGGAUACAUAUUUAUAGCUGGCCUGGCAGCCAACCAGCCAAGCAUCAAGGCAUAUGCUAGUCUAAGAUGCCUUUGAUGCUGUCCUAUCUAGUCUAAGAUGCCUAUGACUGUCUUACCCUAAAAGUAGUCAACAAAGUGGUGCUGCAGCAAGCAUAUGCUGCAGCCCCACUGUCCUCCAGUCAAAAACAGCUGCAGUCCCACAAGGACCAGCAGCACAAGACCAAGUACAGCAGCUGGUCCUUGAAGACCAGCAGGACUAGUACAGCAGCUGGUCCUUGAAGACCAGCAGGACCAGUACAGCAGCUGGUCCUUGAAGACCAGCAGCAAGACUUAUCCAGCAUUCUUCCCCUAAGUCUUGUGCGUCGUCUUGUGGGAAAGUUGGACCAUCCCGGUCCUGGAACAGAGCUCAAGGAACUUGAUCCUCCCAAGGGGCUUGGUGAUUAGAUCCGCAAGCUGAUCCUUGGUGUUGAUAGAGCUCGCCUUGAUGCUUGCUUCCUCCAAACAGCCUCGGAUGAAGUGAUACCUCACCCGGAUGUGCUUGCUCCGCUCAUGAAAAACGGGGUUCUUUGCCAGGGCCAGAGCGAACUUGCUGUCCACCCUAAGCUCCACCGCUCUAGUGUCUCUGCCAAGGAGAUCACCGAGCAGUCGGGCAAGCCAAAGCGCCUGAGUCGAAGCAAUGGAGGCCGCUAUGUACUUGGCCUCGCAGCUGGACAGCGCCACCACCUGCUGCUUGACCGACUGCCAGCUAAUGAGGCACUUGCUGAGGAAGAAGAGAAUCCCGCUCGUGCUCUUGCUAGUGUCGAUGUCGCCGGCGUGGUCGCUGUCGCUGUACCCGACGAAGUGUGCCGCCCCGGGACACCUCGGGUAGAAGAGAUCAUGGUCGAGGGUCCCCGCAACAUAGCGGACGAUCCUCUUCACGGCCUACUGGUGCUCCAUCGUCGGUCGCUGCAUGAACCGACUGACGUAGCCGACGGAGAAUGCCAAGUCCGGUCGUGUGUGGGCGAGGUAGUGAAGGCUCCGCACAAGAUGCCAGUACUGCGUAGGAUCUACCUCCUCCGUCGUGCUGUCGCGGCUCAGCUUCAGCCUCUCCUCCAUCGGAGUGAGAGCUGGGUUGCAGUUGGUGAGCCCGGCUAGCUCCACGACGCGCUUGGCGUAGGCGGUCUGUCGAAGCGUGAUCCCGGAAUCAUCCUGGUGCACCUCGAUCCCCAGGUAGAAGGAGAGAGGCCCUAGAUCACUCAUCUGGGAGGUGGCCUUCAUUUCUUCCUUGAACGCCGCCACCUCCGCAUCCUUGGUGCCUAUGAUCACCAAGUCGUCGACGUAGACACCUACCAGCAAGGCAUUUUCUCCAGUGCCCCGCCAGUAGAUGGCCGCCUUGUGCGGGCUUUGCUCGAAGCCCAUCCCUUUGAGCGUGGAAUCCAACUUGGCAUUCCACGCCCUCGAUGCCUGCCGCAGGCCAUAGAGGGCCUUGCGCAAGCGUAGCACCUUGCCUUCCUUGUUGGGGAUCGCAAAACCCGGCAGCUGGUGCACGUAGACCUCCUCCUUCAAGUCGUCGUUAAGAAACGCCGACUUGACGUCCAUAUGAUGAACGCGCCAGCCUUCCUGGGUGGCCAUCGCAAGGAGGAGUCGCACGGACUCCAUCCGUGCCACGGGGGCGAAAGCAUCGUCGAAGUCGAUCCCCUCUUGCUGCACGAACCCACGUGCUACCAAGCGAGCUUUCUGCUUGACGAUGGCACCGGCUUCAUCCCUCUUCAGCUUGAACACCCACUUAAUCGCACGGUGGCCACGAGGGAGGUCAGCAAGCUCCCAGGUGCGGUUCUUCUCAACCACGUCCAUCUCCGACUGCAUCGCGGCGUGCCAUGCCGCGUGUCUCUCGGCCUCCGCGAAAGAUCGAGGCUCGCCAUCAUCGCACACAAGGUGCAACUGUGCCUCCAGGUUGUGAGGCACCAGUCCUGGCACCGGCUGGUCGCCGAGGAGAUCUUCCAUCGUACGGUACCGCAACUGCUCGCCGUCGUGGUACACGUCGAUGCGCUCCUCGUCGUGAGAGAGCGGAGUAGCGAACUCCACCGGGCUGUGCUUGACAUGAGCUGGUGUCGGAGUAAACGUGCCCGGAGGGAUGGCCGUCAGUGCUGGAAUACGUGGCGUCGCCGGCUGUGGUGGUGCCGGCGAGAAUCUCGUCGCAGCCAAAGUCGCGGCUGGAGAGCGUGGCGCUGCCGGAGUAGCAGGCAUCGGAGUCGGUGGAGGUUCAGGGAUUGGGGUAGGCACACUCGGCGAAGAAGAGCUGCCUACUCCCCCAGCUUCCUCAAAGUGGAUGUACUCGACACUGAAGUUGUCGUACGUCGGAGUCAAGCUGUCGUCCACCGCCUUGUCCCACGCCCAUCCUCACCCUUCGUCGAACACAACAUCGCGCGCUGUGCGCACACGCUGUGUCUCCGGGUCGAGAAUGCGGUAGGCCUUCAAACCCUCCGCGUAGCCGAUGAACACUCCUGGAGUGCUCCUGUUGUCAAGCUUGCCGAUGUGGCCAAGCUCCUUGGCAAACGCGAGGCAACUGAAGACCCGCAGGUGGGACACCGCCGGCUUGGACCCAUGCCAAGCCUCGUAUGGCGUCCUGCCGUCGAGCACCUUGGUGGGUGAGCGGUUGAGGAUAUAGACAGCCGUCACCACCGUCUCUCCCCAGAGAACAGCCGGCAUCCCUAUCUGCUUGAGGAGGGCCUGAGUCAUCCCGACAACCAUCUGGUUGUGCUGCUCGACGAUGCCAUUCUGCUGCGGGCUGUACGGCACGGAGUAGUGGCGCUGAAUGCCCUCAUCAGCGUAGUACGACGCGAACUCAGCCGCCAUGAAUUCGCCGCCGUUGUCAGUGCGCAGCACGCGCAGCUUGCGGCCGCACUCCGCCUCCGCAGCAGCCUGCGUGCGCCUGAUGGCGUUCGCAGCCUCCCCCUUGCUGCCAAGGACCAUCACCCACAUGUAGCGGGAGAGGUCGUCGACGAGCAGCAAGAAGUAGCGUCGUCCUCCGGGUGUGGCCGGUGUCACCGGGCCACACAAGUCCCCGUGCAUAAGCUCGAGCCACUCCUUGGCUUGGAAGCUCGCGUGCUGGGGAAAGGGGAGCCGCCUCUGCUUUGUCAACACACAGACAUCGCAGAACUGCUCCACGUGAUCGAGACAUGGUAGGCCUCGCACCAUCUCCUUGGCAUUGAGCCGCUUCAGGGCCUCGAAGUGAAGGUGCCCGAAGCGCUCGUGCCACUGCCACGCCUUGUCAUCCUAAUGAGUAGCGAGGCAGCAGGGUUGUGCCACCUGCACAUUAAGGAUGUAGAGUCGAUUUGCGCCUCUGGUUACCUUGGCAAGAAGGCGACGACGACGGUCCCAAAUCUUCAUGACUCCGUCGUCGAUCACCACGCAUGAACCGUUCUCUUCCAGCUGUCCCAAGCUGAUGAUAGAGUUUCUCGGCGUGGGGAUGUAGUACACUCCGGUGAGUAGCCUGUGCUCUCCAGACUCGACGGUGAAGAUGACGGAGCCGACGCCCUUGAUCUCUACGCCGGAGGCAUCCCCAAACUUGACGGUGCCUCAGACGCUAGAGUCAAGCUCGGUGAAGAACUCCCGCCGACCAGUCAUGUGCUGGGUAGCGCCGGUGUCGAGGCACCACCCCUCAGUCUUAUCGUUGCUGGAGCCAUCGCUGAGGAAGGCGUGUGCCCUCGGCUCGUCAAGGUGGAGGAGAACCGCUGCGGCCGAUGCCGCUGGAGUUAGCUCGAUGCUUGCAUGUGCCAGGAGCAGAGCCGGCUCCUCCUCCUCCGCUAGUGCGACGUGAGCCUGGCCGCGUCUUGGCUAUUGAUAGUCCUUGGCCUAAUGGCCAAGCUUGCCACAGUUGCGGCACGCGUCGUCUCGUGGCGGCGUGUGCUCGCCAGCGGCACCACCCGAGGCACCUCCUCGCACGCCGCCAGCACCACCCUAAGCGCGUCCUCGCGUGCCGCCCUCGGCGCCUCCUCGUGCCUUGGGCGCCUUGCGUGGCUUGCCGCGCCUGCAGCUGCCUGUCGAGAAAGAAGGCUCCCCCUUCGUCCUAUCACCUUGGCGGGCCUCCCACUGCUCUUGAGUGCAAUGGAGCUUCUCGCCAAUGAUGACAGGCCUUGAGGGAGGCUGUGACUCGUCGCUGUCGACGACCUUGAGGCGGCCUAUCGCCUCCUCAAUCGACAUCCUGGAGAGGUCUAGCAGAGACUCGAUCGAGCGAGCGAUCUGCUUGUACUUCUCAGGUACGCAGCGGAGGAGCUUCUUGACAGCUCUCUAUCCGUAGGUGUCGUCGCCGUACUGCACCAUCUUCUACAACAGAGUGUUGAGAUGAAGAGCAAAGCCAUCAACGUCCUCACCUGGCUUGAAGGCCAGGUUCUCCCAUUCCUUGCGAAGUGCCUGCAGUGUAGACUUGCGGGCGCGGUCGCUGCCGAUGCGUGCCGCAGUGAUAGCGUCCUAAGCCUCUUUGGCAGUCCGCUUCUGGGAAAGCAAGAACUGCAUCUCGAGCGAGACUGCAGCGAUGAGGGCAUCCAGCGCCCGUCGAUCCUCAUCGUAGUCGACGUCACCGUACCGGACUGCCUCCCACAUGUGCCGCACCUAUAGCCUCACUCUCAUCACCGCGACCCACUCGACGUAGUUGGUCUUGGUGAGGGUAGGCCACCCACCACGGGGCCGACUUCCCUGACAACAGCCUGGGCCCCGUGGCGACCAUGACGGCGGUCCGGGACGGGAGAGCUGCGCUCCCUGUAAGGGCCGCGCUCUCCGUCGACCCGGCCGCCGCGCCGCCGAUCGAACUCCAUCUCAGCCUCCAGCUGGGCAGCCCUCUCCCGCAAUCGCUGGGCCUCCAGUGCGAGAUCGAUGUGUGGGUCGCCCUGGGGGUCGCGGCCACCAUGUCCGCCAGGAACACGGUCGUCGCACGCGCCCCCGCCGGGAGCGCCGCCGGCGCGUGCACGCCCAUCUAGGCUGCCGCCGCCGCGCCCGCGUGGGUGCACGACUGCCCACUGCACCGCCCGUUCCUGCGUCGCCUCCCUUGCUAGCACGAGCUCUACGUCGGUAUCGCCAUCGGCAGAGGUAGCGCUGCUGAUGCUACCACCACGUAGAGUCUCGAGCUCCGCUGCCGCCGCACGUGCGACAUCUGCCGCCGCCGCCGCUUCCGCUUCCGCCCUCGCUGCAGCCAGCUCCGCUGCCACCAGCCUCGACGCCCUUGCCGCCACCACAGCGGUCUCUGCCGCCACUCGGGUACGCUCCUCUGCCGCAGCGAGCUCGGCCUCCUACCGACGCCGCGCGCUCGAGGCGACUGAGUGCUGAGACUGUCCUACGGACAUGGCACGCCACCGGGGGGCUACGUGGGGAAGAGGCUACUUCCGAAGGAGCUGCUGCUCGUCUGCGUAGGAGGAGAGGAGUGAACAGGGACAACCGGUGUUUCUGCUACCGGCUGGGGACGAAGGGUGGCUGGGGAGGGAUGUGAGCAGGAGAUGUUCAAGUUACAGGAUAGUACGGCUCUGAUACCAGUUGUUAGGAUCUGAACUGUAACUCUCAUCGAGAGGAUGGCACUAGGAAGAGUUGGGGCAAUUUUCUGAGUUUUCUUUCCACAAUACCAUGUCCAACCAAGUGUUGAGGAUACAUAUUUAUAGCUGGCCUAGCAGCCAACCAGCCAAGCAUCAAGGCAUAUACUAGUCUAAGAUGCCUUUGAUAUUGUACUUUGAUGCUGUCCUAUCUAGUCUAAGAUGUCUAGGACUGUCCUACCCUAAAAGUAGUCAACAAAGUGGUGCUGCAGCAAGCAUAUGCUGCAGCCCCAUUGUCCUCCAGUCAAAAACAGCUGCACUCCCACAAGGACCAGCAGCACAAGACCAAGUACAGCAGCUGAUCCUUGAAGACCAGCAGGACCAGUACAACAGCUGAUCCUUGAAGACCAGCAGCAAGACUUAUCCACCGCACUAAGCUGAUUGACAUUGGAGGUAACCAGAUCUGGCUUGUUCAGUUGACGGAGUAUCUCACUUAAGAGCUCCCCUGGAUCCCCAUGCGUCCCAUAAACCCAUGCCCUUUCCUCAAACUGCUUGCCAAUCUCGCUGUUGUACAACUCCCGGGCAAGGAUGGUCUUCCCCAAUCCAGAGAACCCAACUAUGGAGAUCACCCUCAGCUGCUUAGGUUGACCCUCCGCUUCCGCCAACUGCUCCAGAAGCUCCUCCAGGGGAGCAUCGAUGCCAACCAGAUCACCAGGAAGGACAUGCUGAUCCCAGGAUGAUUGUGCCAGCUGGAUGAGGAUGAAUGGGACACUGAAUACCUCUGCUGCCGCUGGAGUGCUUCCUCCAGUCUGUACCUAAGGUGCUGCAUCUCUUCGCCUAACUAGGAACGUGAUUUUCUCUUUCUCCCAGAUUUCAUAUAUUUAGAGUACCAUGGUUGCUGAUCCCAAGACGCAUCAUACAUGAUGUGGUCUAUACAAUCCUCCAUUUCAUGAGCUACAUGACGCAAUUCUUCAACCGAUAAACGCAGUAUGUGAUCAUCCUGCCCCAAGAGCUGCCCGUCAAUGGCACUAGUGAUCAUGGGAAGCUCUCUCAUCAGGAAAGUCACAUCUCCUUCAAAGCCCUUGUACAGCUUGUAUUUCUCCUCCACCAGCGAGAACAAUCUCGACACGAGGUUGUCUACAAAUGCACUCAACAGGCCAGGGUCCUCCAUCGAUCACAAUGGUUGUUAGCUAGGCACUGACGGUUCCUACUUCCUAGUGAGGAGAUAAAGUGCUCCCUGUCUUGCAAUGUAACAAUGGGGUGGAUAAAACAGACAUGGAGCACAUGGACCUUAAGGAGCAUCUUGUAGCAGGGGAGGAGACCACAUCUGGCUUUUCCUCUGACAGUAAAUUGCAGUUGUUAGCAGCACUUUUUACAUUAAAUAUAUCAUAAGUAUGAAGCCAUAUUAAAUUAGUAUUAAGUCCAGCACAGAAAUGCAAUGGUUAUAUGUAGUCAAUACUUCCAAUGAUUUUAUUACAGUGCCGAUGCUUAUGUAGAAACACUGAUAUUCACACUGUAACCCCUGAAAAUAAAAAUUGUACAGUGACAAGGAUGGAUCAUUGCAGAAAAGCUAUAGGGAUCAAAACUACUAUACUUUUCUAAAGAUGCAGUAGUAAGGUGGAAUAGUGCAGUGUGGAAGGGGGAGGAGAGCAGGAUUUGUGGAGCUUAGUUGCAACUGUAAACUCCUAACUGCGAUUCAGUGAUUGCUUCAAAGCAUGAUGUAAAUUUCUUCAAGCCAACGUCAAAUAUUGAAGAACUGGGGUUGUAUUACAAGAUAUUUAAAAUAAAUCUAUGGUGAACUAAUCAAGUGAAAAAAAUUUCUUCAAUUUCUUGUGGAAAAAAAUCAGCGCAUUAUUAUUUCCUCGGAAAGAUGCAAACCUACAGAAAAUGACAGAGAUUUCUUGGCAAAUAAAAACUCUGAUGACCAAAUAAUAAGCUUGAAGAUCUGGAUGUAGAUGAACAGCACCGGGCACACCGCACACAGGCAUAAGACUUUAGAAGAGAGUAGUACACCUUACUACCUCAGAGCUUUUCCAGAAUUAGACUGGGAGUGUUUGGAUCCAUGGACUAAUUUUUAGUUCAGGUCACAUCGGAUAUUUGGAUACCAAUUAAAAAGACUAAACGUGAUCUAAUUAUAAAACUAAUUGCAUAAGCCGUUGGUAAUUCGCGAGAUGUAUCUAUUAAGCCUAAUUAAUCCAUAAUUAGCACAUAUUUACUGUAACAUCGCAUGGUCAAAUCAUGAACUAAUUAAACUUAACAGAUUAAUCUUGCGAAUUAAUCUUCAUUUAUGCAAUUAGUUUUGUAAAUAAUCUAUAUUUAAUACUAAUUCUAAUUAGUAUCGUAUUCGACGUGAUACAGGGACUAAAGUAUUGUUCGAUGUGACACAGGGACUAAACAGUUUGUGCGGCCGGCUGCUGCUCGAGCUCGCUGGUGGGGGAAGACUUUGACCCGGACUUGGGAGAGAUGCACUCAUUUGUUUUCUUUUCUUAAUUUUUUAACGAAAGACAACAAUACCCCUGUCUUCUUUCUCUUUCCUAUUUGUAGUCUGAACACAAGAAAACAAAGCGAAGUGUUUGGCAUAAAUUUUGUACGCGCAUCAGACUUCAGCAAUACCUGUCAAAGCUCGCUGGCACCAACCGCCUCCCUCGCCUCUGUCGUCACAAUUUUUUGUCAAAGCUUGCUGGCACCAACGAGCCCCGGACCAGCGCUGGUGUCUGAUUGCCUCCAGGCAGUUAAAUACAUUCAGAGUCCAUUCCUGGAGGCUUCAUGGAAGCUUCGUCCUUGGAUUUCUCAAUGCCAGCAACACGGUCUUGAUGUGGAUUUGCAGGUUACAAAAAUUUCGAGGGUUCAAAACCAGGCAGCCCAUCUUCUUGCUGUCAAAAAGCUAGGACUUCAUCUUCUUAUACACAGCUCAAUCCUGUUUGUACAAAACCAAGACAUGAUCCUGCUUGUGCUGCUCUCUCAGCACUUCUUUCUGUACAAUUGGGUCACCUGACCCUCACCCAUGUACACUGCUUUUAGCUCUUGAAUGAAGUUCUUUUUCAAAAAAAAAAAAAAAAAAAACGAGCCCUCUUUACCAGCCACAACUCCUCUACGGGCUCCACUAUCUCCUCGGCCACCACCAGAUCCAUCAACAGCAUCUGACGGCCAUAGUGGCUCGAAUUUAUCAUGCCAAGCAUAACUCGCCCAAUUCAUGCCAAAGAGGCUGGCACACCAAGUGGAAACCUCAUUACUGGAAAAAAUAAAAGAAAUUGAGGUGUGACCGUGGGAGGGGUUUUCUGGUCUUUUAGCAAGCUAUCAUUUUCAUUAUCUCUUCUACAUUUAUUUUAAUUGGGCAACAUAAAACAAUGCCUCACGUCCAGGGGCGGAUCCAGGGCCCGGGCUGCCCGGGCUGCAGCCCGGGGCGAGACCAUGGAGUCCCUUUAACCUAUGUGUUGUUUAGCCUAACAAAAUGAGGUUUAGGAGACAAAAUUAGACUAUUUUAGGUGUGAUUCAACAGCUCAGCCCGGGGCGCAACCCCGUUCUGAAUCCGCCCCUGCUCACGUCGGUAGGGAAUGGCCAAGGUUUGAUUUCUUUCUUUUGUGGGUCUACCAGUCUCAGCCUUGCUUCUGUCUUUUUGUUACGUACAUAAUUAUAAUAUUUUGUUUGGUAGCCAUUAUUGGAGUUUGGCCUAGUCACGAGAUGGCAUAGUCCAAAUAAUCAGACAGAACUUUGUCAACCCCAGAACUCUAUAAGCAGAGCCACUUUUGUUUCUAAUUCCCUAGUUUUGCAUCUGUGGUGCCAAUCCAAGGCUACAUGAUACGGAACGAAGAAUAGAUUAAUAAUAAAAAACAAGGAAUGGAAUAAAGUGGCAAGGAGCAUCAAGGAACGGCUGGUUCACUGCAUUAUUGAGUUGCAUCUCACUGCAGCCCUCCUCACACUGGUACGGUGAGCUCCGGCUGCAGCUGCAAGACGACUAGCAGGUGCGUACUUGCUUCUCUGAAUUCCCGCUUAAUUGAAAGACAAGGCUGAACUCUGAAUUCCUUUCUCUGGGUAUACAUAUGAUCCUCCACAACUGCUUCAGUUUAUUUCUUUUUUGUGAACGUCCUGUGAGGCUGUGAGAUCUAUCAAAUCGGUUUGGCAACUUUCAUCGCAGAGAGAUCUGCUUCUACUGCCAUGGCAUCCCCAACAUCCAGUAUGGUUUCAUCACAAAACUCUACUACUUUUGCAUCUAUUGGUAAUUGGUUUCGUGUUUCUUUCUAAUUUCGUUCUUUCUUUUUUUUUCAAAAGAUUGAUUUGAUAGGAAGUGGUAGGAAACGAAUUGAAGAGAAGGUUUUCUUGGUAGUACCUGUACAAGGCUGCUAGUCUUGAUGUAGAAGAAUAACGCCAUGAAGGGUUGGACAGAUGACCAUCCAAGGAAGCUACAAUACUCACUAGUUAAAGAGAUUACAAAUAAUUUUGCAGAUGAACUUGGACGCGGUACAUUUGGACGUGUGUUUAAGGUACCCCUAUUAAAUUAAAAAUCUCCUUUGUAAUGUUCGUUGUAAAACAUACGAUGUUUUUAAAUUUAUUUACAUUCAUAAUCUCUGACCUCCUUCUAUCUCUUACAGUGAUUGUGGGUAAACCUUUAAACUAAAUAUCUCUUCUUGCCAAGCUAACAUUUGAACCAGGGUCAUGGUAUAAUUAAAAGUGUAGUUUAUAAUCCAAAGCUCUAUUUGUUGCAUAGGUGUCCUUUGAGCCAUGGGAAUGUCUCCAGAAAAACAUAUGUGGAAAAUAUAUCAAAGAUGGUUUCUGUUUCUAGACCUUAUCAUUAGCAGUUUUAAAUAAAAGAACAAUUUGCAAUGAGCUCAUAUCACAGAAAGUAUUACAAAAUAUAUCGCAAAUGGUUUUUAUGUCUAAACCUUGCCACAGAUACUUAGUUUUGAAAGCAAAACAGUCAUUGGUGGCCUUGAGACUAUCUGUAGUAGUGAAUGUUGGAUGAUAUUGUUGUUUAUUGUCUUAACAUCGGUUAUAUGAGGAUGUGUGCAAAAGGAACCGAGCUAAUCGUAUUCAUUUUCAUUUAUAAUUCUCUGUUACUAUAUAUCAGCAUAGAAAAAACAAAAUUAUUAUGUGUAAUUAAAGAAGGUGUUUAAUAGGGGCUGCUUGAUGAUGGAGAAGAGGUUGCUGUGAAGCUGCUUCGUUAUUUCACGCCUGAGAUCAGUGACCAGCAGUUCCAAAAUGAAUUUGGAAACCUUAAGAAGCUCAAGCAUCCUAAUAUUGUACAAUUGUUGGGGUUCUGCGAUGAACCUGAGGAAGAAAUUAUUGAGCACAAAGGAAAAUUAAUACUUUGCUAUAGGAUACGCAGGGCACUAUGUCUUGAGUAUGUGCCCAAUGGAAGCCUUCGCAAGUUUCUUUCAGGUAAGGUGCUCAUGUGUUAUUGCGUAAUAUUAUUUCGGACAUGUGAAUAAAAAUAUUCUUUGCAUUAUGUAUAUUGAGAAUAUUAUGUUUGUUCUUGUAGGUGGAUGUCUUAGCAAGAAUUGGCCCAUACGCUACAAAAUAAUUAAGGGAAUCUGCGAGGGUCUACAGUACCUUCACAAGAUUCCCAUUUUCCAUCUUGACUUAAAACCUGAUAAUAUACUGCUAGAUGAGAAGAUGUUGCCAAAAAUCGCCGAUUUCGGUUUAUCUAGGCUCAUUGGUGAAGGGAACACCAAAAGGACAAUGACGCCUCUAGGGACAGUGUAAGAUUAUUGUCUCAUGUGAACUUUUGAUCUGCUAAAUUGUAGUUAUUCCUUAGUCUCACUUUGCUAUGUCAUUUAUGUUCUGCUGCAGUGGAUACUUGCCUCCAGAGUUCAUUGACAAUCAAAUAAUCUCCAGGGAAUAUGACAUAUAUAGUUUAGGUGUUAUAAUUAUGCAGAUAAUCACUGGUGUUACAAGCUUCUCUGAUUUUGCUGACAUGGAGCCCCAAGAAUUUAUUGAACAUGUAAGAAUAAUUUAAUUAAUCUUAAUUUAUAAGCCUCUUAGAUACUAGAACAUGUAAGAAUAAUUUAAAUAAUCUUAAGCGGGUUACGUAUAAUGGAUCGAUUGUUAUUGCAUUGAGCCUCUCGGCUGGUACAUAUUAAGUACAAGAUUUGUGGGGCAAGACUCCUCCAGAUACAUAUGGCAGUCUACAACACGUAUAUCUACAACUACCAAAUAUACUCUAACACUUCGUUUUGGAGAUUCUUAUUGUAUAUAAAGUUGGCAGCACGCCAUGUUGAUAGUCCUGUUGGAACAAUAUCCAUGAAUUUAUCACCAUUUAAUAGCAGAUGCAUGCAAGUAGAGUGUCACUCCAUCAGCUUUCAACCACUUUAGAUUCAAGGGAGAUCUUUCUGUAAAUCACACUGUGGACUCUACAUGUUGUGGUUAUUAUUUCACUCAUCACAUUUGGUCAGAACUCUAAAGUUCAUUAUAGUGCACGAGCCCAUAUAAACGUGACAGGUCAUAACGAUUUACUGUUACAAUCAAUUCCUAUAUUCAAAACAAAACAACAUGUAUUUGCAAUAGGGCGGAGUACUAAAUUCCAUAAUAUUAACCGCCCUUGUACUUGUUUUACUCUGUGUUUUAACUUCAAAGGUACAUGACAACUGGAAAAGAAGUCUAGAAGAGAUCCCAGAGUAUGCGUCACUUGAAGCGGAUUGCAAACAAGUGAAAAGAUGUAUGGAAAUUGCAAUAAACUGCAAGAAGAAGAAGCGUCAUGAAAGGCCUACAAUGGAGGAUAUUAUCAGCAAAUUAGAUGAGAUGGAAACUGUUAAAAUUGACACGCAGUUGUCAAUUAAAAAGGUACAACCUAUCAUUCAUCUUAUAUAUGUAAAAAAUAUAAAACCCAUAGUUUAUUUGUCCCUAAAUAUUACCAGUGGUCGAAAAUAUAUACUUGGCUCUUUAUACGUCCACAUGGCAACUUUCACUAUGUUUUUAAAUAUUUAAGUUGUAAACAGGGAAAAUAAAUUGCUUGAUUUGUGUCGGAAAUAUGCAUAUAUCGGAUAUAAAAGUGAGCAAAAUACUCAUAUGACUCUCAGUAUAUUAAUGUCUCUGUUUCUUGCCACUGUUAAUUUUGUGUAUGCUGUAAUUCUAACUAGAGGUGUGUGCGCGCGUUAGAACUGCAGUUUAAUUUCCCAACCAAACAGCACCUUAGUUUUCUGAUAUAAAAUAAGUCUACAACAGAUCCCAGAGUAUGCCAUCAUGUGAAUUCAUACCGACACAAGUCGAUGAGAUAUCAGCCACGGCCCUUGCAAUCGUAGAAUACAAGACGAAAACAGUAAGGUUCUGUUGGGAUACAGUAUGAGUAUGUUAAAGUUUAACGAGGUGUUAAAGUUUAACACAUGUGGGAUGUUUGGAUGGUCUGUUAAAUUUUAACACCAAAGGUUGGAAUUGACACCAUUGCCCCUCAAUUACUCCUCCUUUCUCUUCUCUUCUUUGCCCCUCCUCAACUUCUUCCUUUACCGCCGAAUCCCCCGGCCCCGCGGCUCCCGCACGGCCAAGCGCUGCCGAUGCCGCACGGCCAGAUCCCGGUGGAGCUCCUCAAUGGCCGCCGCACCGCCGCUCCUCCGCCGUGGUGGCCCCCCGCGUGUGGCGCGUCGACCCAAUGUUCGCCGCGGUGGGCAACCGCGUCGUCGCGCUUGGCGGCGCGUGCCGCCUCCCGCUGGCCGAGGGUGAGGACGAAGUGGUAGUGGAGGUCCACGAGGGCGGUGGGUGGACGGCCUGCGACCCCAUGCCCGACGCGCUCAGGGACUCGGCGUCCGCGACGUGGCUCUCAGCGGCGGCCACAGACCAGCAGGUGUAUCUGGUGGAGAGGGCCACCGGAUGGGCAUGGCCGGGUGGAGGUGGCGGGGCCUGGCGGAGGAGCUGAAUCAGGGGCCGCCAGAUCGGAGAGGGACCUGAGCAUGGCGGCCUUGACUGCCAUGCUAGAGAAGGAGGCCUCGCGCAUGACGCGCGCCAUGGACGGGUCGUCGAGGAUGGCGAGCACGAGGUGAGGCAUGCCGACGCGGAGGAGCUGAAUCGGGGGCCGUCGGAUCGGAGAGGAACCUGAGCAUGGCGGCCUUGACUGUUGUGCUGGAGAAGGAGGCCUCGCACAUGACGCGUGUCACGGACGGGUCGUCGAGGAUGGCGAGCACGAGGUGAGGCACGCCGACGCGGAGGCGGCGGGGCCAGGCGGAGGAGUCGGGGCCGGCGGAGGAGAUGCGGAUGGGGAUGGUGCCGGGAGGGGAGAAAGGGCUAGCGGGGAUGGGAGGACUUGUGGGCGGUGAUGGCGGCCGGGAAGGAUGGACGGCUGGGGGAGCUGGCGGCAGGAGGGGAGGAUGCAAUGCGGGAGUAGCUGGCGGCAGGACAGACGCGAUGGGGCGACCAGGGAAUUGGGGGCAGCGGAGGAGAUAGAGAGGGGCAACCAAGGAAUUGAGGGUAUUAAAACUCACUAGGGGAUCACUUUUAACAGUUUAACAUCCUCUUUAUAAAAUUGGGAGUGUUAAAGUUUAACAAACUCUUUUAACACAUCUGUUUGGAUGGGCAUAUGUUAAAAAAGUGUUAAAAGUGGAGCAUUAAACUUUAACACCCCUAUCCAAACAGGGCUUAAGUUAAGCAGCCAUGCACAGCCUGUGCAGAUAUAAACGAGAGGCCGACGUCUCUGGAAUUAGCCACCGUCUCCUAUGCGAAGGAAUGAACCACGACGAAACAUGAUUAGAUCAGUAGACGUCCGUCUGUGCAAAAUCACUAACAAUGUGCCAAAAUUAAAUUAAUUAGCUUUAGGAUCCGUGCUAUUUUUUUUAAAGGAGCGCCGGAGCAAAAUCCACAAUGUAAUUUUUACUAUAUUUCGUAGGAUGAGCAAACACCAUUUUCCUAAGAUUUGCCAAUUGUUUUUAUUGACAGGGUUACUUUGAAGAAUCCAGAUUCUUAUCUAGUGGCAUCCUGGGCAGGCCAUAUCAAUGUUAGUAAUGUUACAUUUUUUUAGAUCCCUUCAUUUACUAAAUAUUUAAUUUAUUUUUAUUGAAGUUUGAUAUUGAUAUAAUGUAGCAUGCUGUGUGUUGGUGUAAUUGUGUUGUUCAGUACAAUCGGCUGGAGCGGUAAUCCUUGCUGUCACGAAGAUUGGUUCCAUUUUAGGAGAUGAAACCUCCAAGGUUGUUAUAAAUAAGCUGUCUGAAAAAGUUCAAGCUCUGAAGGAACUGCCACGGAAAGUCGAUCAAAUAAGGAUGAAAUUGACAUCAAUGAGUGAUACUAUACAAGAGAUCGGCACAGACUACCUCACAGAUGAGCCUGUCAAUAAUUGGAUCGGGGAGGUCCGGAAGGUGGCUUACCGUGUUGAAGAUGUAGUAGACAAAUACUCAUACCAUGUUUUUCAACUGAUGCAAGAAGGGUUCCUGAAGAAGUACUUCAUCAAGGGCACCCAUUAUGCCAUUGUUUUCAGCGCAAUUACAGAUGAGAUAGCUGAUAUAGAAGAGGAGAUUAACCAAGUUAUUCUGAUGAAGGAUCAGUGGUUGCAGCAUUCCCAGCUUGUUCCUGACAAACUUGCCGUGAUUGAAAGGCAGCGGUCCCAAGAUGGUUUCCAAGAUUUUGUCAAAGAUGAAGAACUAGUAGGAAUUGUAAAAAAUAGAAAAUUGCUGUCUGGAUGGCUGUACUCGGAUGAGCUGGAUAGCACCGUGAUAACAGUUUCGGGUAUGGGUGGGUUGGGAAAAUCUACCCUGGUAACAAAUCUUUAUGAACGAGAAAAGGUCAACUUCCCUGUGCAUGCUUGGAUUGUUGUGUCACAGAUCUGCCCGGCAGACGCUCUGUUGAGAAAGCUACUCUGGAAGAUUGAGGACAUGGUACCACCAGUACCAUCAGAAAUUGACAAAAUGGAUGUACACGACUUGAAGGCAGAAAUAAAGAAAAAACUCCAAAAUAGAAAAUGUUUGAUUGUAUUAGAUGAUGUCUGGGAGCAAGAGGUAUACUUCAAAAUACAUGAUGCUUUCCAGAAUCACCAAGCAAGUCGUAUUAUCAUUACUACACGAAAGGAUCAUGUUGGAGCCAUCGCUUCAUUGGACCACCACCUUGAGCUAGAACCAUUGGAUGGCCCUGAUGCAUUUGACCUUUUCUGCAGAAGGGCUUUUCACAACAAGAAGGACCACAAAUGCCCCAAGGAGUUUGAGAAAAUUGCUAAAUCUAUAGUGGAUAGGUGUCAUGGCCUGCCGCUGGCAAUUGUUACUAUAGGCAGCUUUUUGUCAUCAAGACCACGAAUAAACAUUUGGAAUCAAACAUAUAAUCAGCUAAGGAGUGAGUUGUCAGCAAAUGAUCAUGUCAGAGCAAUAUUAAACCUAAGCUAUCAUGCUCUAUCUGGAGACCUCAGAAAUUGCUUUUUGUACUGCAGCUUGUUCCCUGAAGACUACCCCAUGUCACGAGAAAGCCUCGUGCGGCUGUGGGUUGCAGAAGGCUUUGUUCUGAGCAGAGAAAAGAAUACACCAGAGGAGGUGGCUGAGGUAAAUCUCAUGGAACUGAUUCACCGCAAUAUGCUUGAAGUUGUGGACUAUGAUGAGCUCGGAAGGGUUAGCACUUGCAAGAUGCAUGGUCUUAUGCGGGAUCUGGCACUCUCCGUUGCCAAAGAAGAAAAGUUUGGUUCUGCAAAUGAUUAUGAAGCAAUAAUACAGGUGGACCCACAUGUUCGCCGAUUGUCAUUAUGUAGGUGGAAAGUUAAUAUUUCACUUAAGGUUAAAUUUCCACGUCUUAGAAGCCUUGUGGCUCAUGGAAUGAUUUCGUCCACCCCUUAUUUGUUAUCCUCAAUUUUGUGUGAAUCAAAGCACUUGACUGUUCUAGAGCUGCAAGAUUCUAAUAUCACCGAGGUGCCCACAUUUAUAGGGAAUCUCUUUAAUCUGCGGUACAUUGGGUUAAGGCGCACCAAUGUCAAGUCACUCCCAGAGUCCAUUGAGAAGCUCUCCAAUCUCCACACUCUGGACAUCAAGCAAACCCAAAUAGAGAAACUACCACGAGGUAUUGUUAAUGUUAAGAAGUUGAGGCACCUUUUGGCUGACAGGUUAGUUGACGAAAAGCAGUCAGAUUUCAGAUAUUUUAUCGGAGUCGAAUCACCUAAAGGGCUGUCGAACCUGGAAGAACUGCAGACUCUAGAGACAGUGCAAGUGAGCAAAGACUUGUUUGUGCAGCUGAAGAAACUGAUGCAGCUCAGAAGCAUAUGGAUAGACAAUGUAAGUGUUUCUGAUUGUGCAAACCUUUUUGCGACCCUAUCGACGAUGCCACUUCUUUCCAGCCUGCUUAUCUCUGCAAGAGAUCUGAACGAGACACUCUGCCUCCAAGCCCUUGAUCCGAUUUCCACAAAGCUCCACAGGUUAAUUGUAAGGGGCCAGUGGACUUCUGGGACACUGAGGUAUCCGAUAUUUCGCAAUCAUGGGGAACAUCUCAAAUAUUUAGCGUUAAGCUGGUGUCAGCUUGGAGAAGAUCCACUGGGUGUGCUCGCUCCACACGUGCCAAAUCUCACCUAUUUAAGUCUUAACAGGGUGAAUAGUGCAAGCACUUUGGUUCUUUCUGCUGGGUGCUUUCCUCACCUGAAGAAGCUCGUCUUGAAGCGAAUGCCGGAUGUCAAGCAGAUGGAAAUCGAAGAUGGUGCUCUUCCACGUAUUGAAGGUCUUUACAUUGUGUCCCUAGCACAGCUGGAUAAGGUUCCUCAAGGCAUCGAGUUGCUUCUUUCUCUGAAGAGGCUUUGGCUGCUGUAC
rnacentral:lncRNA from 1 species